GGGAUUGCCUCAGUAACGGCGAGUGAAGCGGCAAAAGCUCAAAUUUGAAAUCCUUCGGGAGUUGUAAUUUGUAGGUUGGGAGACCCCGCGGCUAGUGGCACCAAGUCCCUUGGAACAGGGCGCCUUAGAGGGUGAGAGCCCCGUAGGUACCACAAUACCGUCUUGUGUCUCCUCUCCAAAGAGUCGAGUUGUUUGGGAAUGCAGCUCAAAGUGGGUGGUAAAUUCCAUCUAAAGCUAAAUACCGGCGAGAGACCGAUAGCGAACAAGUACAGUGAUGGAAAGAUGAAAAGCACUUUGAAAAGAGAGUGAAACAGUACGUGAAAUUGUUGAAAGGGAAGGGCUUGCAAGCAGACACGGCCUUCGUGCCGGGCCAGCAUCGGUUGCUAGGGGUGGAUAAGGAACAAGGAAUGUAGCUCCUCGGAGUAUUAUAGCCUUGCGCGAUACACCCACUGGCGACCGAGGCCUGCGGUAUUCUUUACCUAGGAUGCUGGCGUAAUGGUUGCAAGCCGCCCGU
rnacentral:rRNA from 1 species